rnacentral:rRNA from 1 species
GAUGAACGCUGGCGGCGUGCUUAACACAUGCAAGUCGAACGAAACACCUUAUUUGAUUUUCUUCGGAACUGAAGAUUUGGUGAUUGAGUGGCGGACGGGUGAGUAACGCGUGGGUAACCUACCCUGUACAGGGGGAUAACAGUCAGAAAUGACUGCUAAUACCGCAUAAGACCACAGCACCGCAUGGUGCAGGGGUAAAAACUCCGGUGGUACAGGAUGGACCCGCGUCUGAUUAGCUGGUUGGUGAGGUAACGGCUCACCAAGGCGACGAUCAGUAGCCGGCAUGAGAGAGUGAACGGCCACAUUGGGACUGAGACACGGCCCAAACUCCUACGGGAGGCAGCAGUGGGGAAUAUUGCACAAUGGGGGAAACCCUGAUGCAGCGACGCCGCGUGAGUGAAGAAGUAUCUCGGUAUGUAAAGCUCUAUCAGCAGGGAAGAAAAUGACG